rnacentral:ncRNA from 1 species
CUGAGGCGCGUUCGACCAAGAGUAUUUUAUCCGAUUAAGCCGUUACAGACCGGCAGAUAAAAGAAAGGGGUGGACGCCGAAGCGAAGGGGCUUCUGUAAGGCUUUGGUCGCUGGUCUGGCAGAGAAAAUCUGUCCGACUGUCGCACAAUCGGUGCGGAGCGCAGU